ACCAGGUAGUUGAGGUAAUAAUGAGACUAUAAGGAGUACCAGUACUGAGUCAAUGUGCAGGGUACCAGUACUGAGUCAAUGUGCAGGGUACCAGGUAGUUGAGGUAAUAUGUACAUGUAGUUCGGGGAAAAAGUGACGAGGCAAUCAGGAUGGAGGUUACAUCUCCUCACCCAGGGAGCGCACACACACACACACACACACACACACACACACACACACACACACACACACACACACACACACACACACACACACACACACACACACACACACACACACACACACACA